ACACAGAUCUGAUGUCAUCCCCGGGAGAAAAGCUUGUAAACUCACCUAAAGAAAGGGGGAUCUUAGAACUCACAUGCCGAGCGAGAACUGUCAGAUAAUACCGGCUAGAGAUCAAGCCGUGGCAGCUGCCUUCCACAGCUGCCGCCUUGCAGCUGCCUCUCAAGCAGUUAGUGGGGCUAAAAAUAACCAAGAGCUAACUCGCAGCAAGCUACCAAGCCUUAGAAAGAAGUGUGGGGAAGGAGAUUGCGGAUGGCAGUCUGGGCCCUCAGAGUGGAUGUCGGAGGGAUACCCACCCGGUGGCCCAGGCGGCAUCAAAGGCCUUCAGAGCCCCAUGUGUCUGGGUAGAUCAAACCUCCUGCUGCCACUUCACAACUGGUGGCCCAGGCUGUUGCCUACUGACUGCUACUGUUUCUAAUCUCAGCUGUAAUCCAAGUUGUGUUGAUGCCUCAGGGAAACAGAAGUACCGAAGUAGGAAUGAACAGUUUCCUGUUUGUACCCUAAACCUGAACCAGUGGCCUGAGCAGCAAGUGUGCAGGGGCCUGGAUACUCUACAGAGGAUGGCCCUGGAGGUCUAGUUGGUCAUGAGACUGACAGGAGUGACUCCUGACAGACCUGUGGGUUUCCUGUGGACUCUUGCUGUGGCUCUCGUGUACUCCCAUUACAGGGUCUCCUCUGUAACAUAGGCUAACCUUGAACUCCUCAUCCUACCUGCCUCCAUUUCCCUAGUACUGGGACCAUAGGCUUGCACCACUCCAGCCAGCUCAAGGCAUAGUAUCUAUGAAAUAAAGCCGUUCGAUUAU
rnacentral:lncRNA from 1 species